AUUUAUCUGUUUGCAAGGUGGAGGAUAAACAAUGCUAGGGAAACCUAUUAGGUCCCAUCAAAUUAACCUGAACAUGGCACACUGAUUAACAAGAACAUUAUUAGGUAAAGACAAGUGAUCAAUGGCACAACUUGUCUUAGACUCAAUAUUUCUAGGUGCCAACUUGGUCUUCAAGUGCCUCGUAACCUCACUGCUACUCGUAGCAAUACAAACAAACAUGGCAUAGGAAAAUAUUAACAUCACAUCAAACAUGAGAACAUACUGCAUAAUAAUGAUCUACACAUCGCAAUGAGAUCCCAGGUUCGAGAACCACUAAAUUCGGAGCUACGGUUAGUAAGAUAUGGUUUUCGGAAGAUUACCAUGAUUAAAUGAUACGAACUAAAUUCUAUGUUGAUUAAUGUAAAUCAUAUGAGAAAAGUUAUUAAAGAAAUAACUAAUUCAACUGUAAUCUAAAUUAUAACUUUAUUAUAGAUCGGAUUAUAUUUAUGGAUAGAUUAAGUAGGAUAAAUCUAAUAACCAUAGGAUAAACAAAUAUCUAAUUAUAAAAGUAUGUGAUAUGAUACAAUUAAGGUUGUUACUGCAUAGGCAAUUUUAUUACAAAGCUAACGCAAUUGGAAUAGAUUAAGUCGAAGUUAAAACGAGUAAAAUAUGAGUUUUCUAAGUUUAAUGAUUUAUUUUUUACACUAUAAACCAUUUUUAGAUUUUAUUUUAUAUUAAUUAUGAUUUCCCUCGACGGUGGCCAUCAUUUACAAUAAGUCUAGGGUUUUCUUUGUAAAAACAAGGACUUAUUCGUAAUAGUAUUUGCACUUGGGGGAACCGUGGGUUGAAUACACGAUUCUGCAGUGACUCUUUAGCAAAGUUAGACGACCGAAGGGGUAUGGGACGAUUUUGGCCAUUGGAUUUCAAUCUGAGGGUUCGGAUUAGAUGUACAUCACUAUGAACCAUUAUACGAUUGUGAUCGUUGAUCAAAAGAUCUGUGGCACAGAUUAGUUUUAAACGAACUCUCAUCUUGUCCCUCCAUCUUCCGAUCAAUGGUCGCGAAGCCUUCUAGCCGAACGGUAUGCACGGUCCGAUCCGAGCCGUUAGCGGCUGGAUCAACGGUUGUCGCUGUGUCAUCCUCCGACCUCCUCACCACAGACCAAACGCGGCGCGCCGCCCUACCUCACGGCAAAAGGGCGCACCGGUGACGAGUCAGCCAUGAAUCGAUGCCUAAGCACUGUUUCUACCGGAGCCACGUGACGAGGAGGAUGAGGCGGACUUGGAUGAGGACUACUUACUGGAUGGUGCGGCAUGGAGGGCUCUGCCCUCUGCACGCAGCGGACCAAUGGCGGAGGUUCAACUCCGGUGAGUAAUUCCGGUGACCUUAGUGGACUUCCCCGCCUGAGUCGGCCAUGGCUAUAUCCAGUGAACACCUGUGAACCUGCACGGCCACCGCACGAGGGAAAUCAUUGGUGUAAAUGUGGGUCGACGACGGCUUCAUUUUCCCUCACGGAGCCGCAACUAGGAUAGUUCUUGAGGCGACGAAGGAAGGAGGUGGCGGCUCGAGCUGGAGGACAAAGGGGUCGAGUUUUAUAGCCCGAGCAAGGAGCCCCGCGAGUUUCGCAACCACCCCCGACAGAUAUGGUGUGCGCAUGGUUGGGGAUCCGGUCAACACAGCUGAUCUCGUGGUGUCUGUUUGGGAGGG
rnacentral:lncRNA from 1 species